rnacentral:rRNA from 1 species
UCGAGAAUCAUUCACAAUGGGGGAAACCCUGAUGGUGCGACGCCGCGUGGGGGAAUGAAGGUCUUCGGAUUGUAAACCCCUGUCAUGUGGGAGCAAAUUAAAAAGAUAGUACCACAAGAGGAAUAGACGGCUAACUCUGUGCCAGCAGCCGCGGUAAUACAGAGGUCUCAAGCGUUGUUCGGAAUCACUGGGCGUAAAGCGUGCGUAGGCGGUUUCGUAAGUCGUGUGUGAAAGGCGGGGGCUCAACCCCCGGACUGCACAUGAUACUGCGAGACUAGAGUAAUGGAGGGGGAACCGGAAUUCUCGGUGUAGCAGUGAAAUGCGUAGAUAUCGAGGGGAACACUCGUGGCGAAGGCGGGUUCCUGGACAUUAACUGACGCUGAGGCACGAAGGCCAGGGGAGCGAAAGGG